CCUACGGGUGGCAGCAGUAGGGAAUCUUCCACAAUGGGCGAAAGCCUGAUGGAGCAACGCCGCGUGGGUGAAGAAGGUCUUCGGAUCGUAAAACCCUGUUGUUAGAGGAGAAAGUGCGUGAGAGUAACUGUUUACGAUUCGACGGUAUCUAUCAAGAAAGUCACGGCUAACGACGUGCCAGCAGCCGCGGUAAUACGUAGGGGGAAAGCGUUAUCCGGUUUUAUUGGGUGGAAAGGGAACGCAGGCGGUUUUUUAAGUCUGAUGUGAAAGCCUUCGGCUUAACCGGUGUAGUGCAUUGUAAUCUGUGAGACUUGAGAGUAGAAGAGGAGAGCGGAAUGUCAGGUGUAGCGGUGAAAUGCGUAGAGAUAUGGAAGAACACCAGUUGCGAAAGCAGCUUUCUGGUCUAUAACUGACGUUGAGGUUCGAAAGCGUGGGGAGCAAACAGGAUUAGAUACCCCUGUAGUC
rnacentral:rRNA from 1 species